ACUCUUCUCUCACCGAGCAUCCCUCACCUCCAUAGGAUGAGACCGGGGCCUACCUCAUUGACCGUGACCCCACCUACUUCGGGCCCAUCCUGAACUUCCUCCGGCAUGGCAAGCUGGUGCUGGACAAGGACAUGGCUGAGGAGGGGGUCCUGGAGGAAGCCGAGUUCUACAACAUCGGCCCGCUGAUCCGCAUCAUCAAAGACCGGAUGGAAGAGAAGGACUACACGGUCACCCAGGUCCCACCCAAGCACGUGUACCGCGUGCUGCAGUGCCAGGAGGAGGAGCUCACGCAAAUGGUCUCCACCAUGUCUGAUGGCUGGCGCUUCGAGCAGCUGGUGAACAUCGGCUCCUCCUACAACUACGGCAGUGAGGACCAGGCAGAGUUCCUGUGUGUGGUGUCCAAGGAGCUCCACAGCACCCCAAACGGGCUGAGCUCAGAGUCCAGCCGCAAAACCAAGAGCACGGAGGAGCAGCUGGAGGAGCAGCAGCAGCAGGAGGAGGAGGUGGAGGAGGUGGAGGUGGAACAGGUGCAGGUGGAGGCAGAUGCACAGGAGAAAGGUUCCCGUCCGCACCCUCUCAGACCU
rnacentral:sRNA from 1 species